GUAGCAUAAUCGAUUAUGCAUUGAGCAUAAUCGAUUAUGCAAUUAAGUUCAGAAAAGUUUUCGAAACAGAAUGACUGAAUAAUCGAUUACUCAUUUUGAAUAAUCGAUUAUUCAAAGUUUUCAGCAAAAUUCGGAAUUAACAGUAAGCCAGAAUAAUCAAUUAUCAAGGACCUGAUAAUCGAUUAUCCUGGACCAGUAAGUCCUGAUAAUCGAUUAUCAAGGACCUGAUAACCGAUUAUCC
rnacentral:lncRNA from 1 species